rnacentral:rRNA from 1 species
GAUGAACGCUGGCGGCGUGCCUAAUACAUGCAAGUCGAGCGAACAGACGAGGAGCUUGCUCCUCUGACGUUAGCGGCGGACGGGUGAGUAACACGUGGAUAACCUACCUAUAAGACUGGGAUAACUUCGGGAAACCGGAGCUAAUACCGGAUAACAUGUUGAACCGCAUGGUUCAACAGUGAAAGACGGUCUUGCUGUCACUUAUAGAUGGAUCCGCGCCACAUUAGCUAGUUGGUAAGGUAACGGCUUACCAAGGCAACGAUGCGUAGCCGACCUGAGAGGGUGAUCGGCCACACUGGAACUGAGACACGGUCCAGACUCCUACGGGAGGCAGCAGUAGGGAAUCUUCCGCAAUGGGCGAAAGCCUGACGGAGCAACGCCGCGUGAGUGAAGAAGGUCUUCGGAUCGUAAAACUCUGUUAUUAGGGAAGAACAAAUGUGUAAGUAACUAUGCACGUCUUGACGGUACCUAAUCAGAAAGCCACGGCUAACUACGUG